AAGAGAGAGAGUUGCCGUCUCGCCGUCGAUCGGAAAAUGGAGAAUUGCGACGUGUUAGUAUCGUCAACUGCACCAUUGGCGUAGCAUGAAUUCCUUCCGCGCAUGCGUGAUCCGAAGCCCUGCGAUUUCAUCAAAUCCGUAUCAAUCUUCAUCUUAGUUGAAUCUAAGGGACUUUAGAAGUAUGUCAUGAAAAAGCUAUUUACACGUACAUUUGUUGAUGAAUGGCUUCAUGAGAA
rnacentral:misc_RNA from 1 species